CCAAGGUGAACAGCAAGAGGGGUCAUAGAAGCUGUCCUCCAUCAGACACUCCCAACCCUCUGGAACCCAGGACAUACCUAGUUCAUGGUUUUGUGACCGAAGUCUCAACUCCUUCCUGAGCUCCAUUGAUGUGGACCUAUGUCAGAAUCAUCCCCACAGUGAGGAAAACCAGGUCACUAGCAGCCUUUAUUGAAUGGCAACAGGAAGGGAACCCUCCCCCCCCAUUAAACCACCGCCAUCGUCUCCAAGAGGAUGGGCUCCAGAACGCUACCACUGUCUUUAAACAGUAACUUUCAGAACUGUGCACAGG